rnacentral:rRNA from 1 species
GACGAACGCUGGCGGCGUGCUUAACACAUGCAAGUCGAACGAAGUGGCGAACGGGUGAGUAACGCGUAAUCAACCUGCCCUUCAGAGGGGGACAACAGUUGGAAACGACUGCUAAUACCGCAUACUGAAGGAGGGGAUUGAGUUUGCUUAGGUAGUUGGAGGGGUAACGGCCCACCACGGCGAGGAUCAGUAGCCGGGCUGGAGGGAAGAACGGCCACAAUGGGACUGGGACACGGCCCAGACUCCUACGGGAGGCAGCAAGUGGGAAACUUCGGAAAAUGGGGGAAGCCUGACUGAGCCACGCCGCGUGAGUGAAGACGGCCUUCGGGUUGUAAAGCUCUGUUAAUCGGGAAGCGGUACCGGAAGAGAAAGCCACGGCUAACUACGUGCCAGCAGCCGCGGUAAUAC